rnacentral:rRNA from 1 species
CCUACGGGUGGCAGCAGUGAGGAAUAUUGGUCAAUGGACGCAAGUCUGAACCAGCCAUGCCGCGUGCAGGAAGACGGCUCUAUGAGUUGUAGACUGCUUUUGUACGAGGGUAAAUCCCGAUACGUGUAUCGGGUUGAAAGUAUCGUACGAAUAAGGAUCGGCUAACUCCGUGCCAGCAGCCGCGGUAAUACGGAGGAUUCAAGCGUUAUCCGGAUUUAUUGGGUUUAAAGGGUGCGUAGGCGGUCGGAUAAGUUAGAGGUGAAAUGCCGAGGCUCAACUUCGGAAUUGCCUCUGAUACUGGUCGGCUAGAGAGUAGUUGCGGUAGGCGGAAUGUAUGGUGUAGCGGUGAAAUGCUUAGAGAUCAUACAGAACACCGAUUGCGAAGGCAGCUUACUAGGCUAUUUCUGACGCUGAGGCACGAAAGCGAGGGGAGCAAACAGGAUUAGAUACCCGUGUAGUC